AGAGUUUGAUCCUGGCUCAGGAUGAACGCUAGCUACAGGCUUAACACAUGCAAGUCGAGGGGCAGCAUGGUCUUAGCUUGCUAAGGCCGAUGGCGACCGGCGCACGGGUGAGUAACACGUAUCCAACCUGCCGUCUACUCUUGGACAGCCUUCUGAAAGGAAGAUUAAUACAAGAUGGCAUCAUGAGUUCACAUGUUCACAUGAUUAAAGGUAUUCCGGUAGACGAUGGGGAUGCGUUCCAUUAGAUAGUAGGCGGGGUAACGGCCCACCUAGUCUUCGAUGGAUAGGGGUUCUGAGAGGAAGGUCCCCCACAUUGGAACUGAGACACGGUCCAAACUCCUACGGGAGGCAGCAGUGAGGAAUAUUGGUCAAUGGGCGAGAGCCUGAACCAGCCAAGUAGCGUGAAGGAUGACUGCCCUAUGGGUUGUAAACUUCUUUUAUAAAGGAAUAAAGUCGGGUAUGGAUACCCGUUUGCAUGUACUUUAUGAAUAAGGAUCGGCUAACUCCGUGCCAGCAGCCGCGGUAAUACGGAGGAUCCGAGCGUUAUCCGGAUUUAUUGGGUUUAAAGGGAGCGUAGAUGGAUGUUUAAGUCAGUUGUGAAAGUUUGCGGCUCAACCGUAAAAUUGCAGUUGAUACUGGAUAUCUUGAGUGCAGUUGAGGCAGGCGGAAUUCGUGGUGUAGCGGUGAAAUGCUUAGAUAUCACGAAGAACUCCGAUUGCGAAGGCAGCUCACUGGACUGCAACUGACACUGAGGCUCGAAAGUGUGGGUAUCAAACAGGAUUAGAUACCCUGGUAGUCCACACGGUAAACGAUGAAUACUCGCUGUUUGCGAUAUACAGCAAGCGGCCAAGCGAAAGCGUUAAGUAUUCCACCUGGGGAGUACGCCGGCAACGGUGAAACUCAAAGGAAUUGACGGGGGCCCGCACAAGCGGAGGAACAUGUGGUUUAA
rnacentral:rRNA from 1 species